rnacentral:lncRNA from 1 species
AUGCAGUCUUUUACAAAAACACAUUGUUUAACCUGAACCAUGAUCUCCAUCCAAUAAGAAAGUUAUCUCUGUCCAUUUUUUUCCCUUUCUUUUCUUCUCUCUCCUUUACCAGGUAUCACUGGGACAGGCUCUGGAACUACAUCCUCACCUGGAGGUUUCAAUGCAGAAGCAACAACUUUUAAAGAACAUGUUAGAACCACUGAAACAAGAAUUUUAUCAGGUACCACUAGGGGAGCCUCUGGCACAACAGUUAUUCCUGAAAGUUCCAACACAGGCAAGUAAAUAUUUAAUCAGUGGCUCCAGGUAGAUAAGCCUAGGGAAAAAACAGCCCUU